UGCAGUCGACGAUGAUCCCCAGCUUGCUGGGGGGAUUAGUGGCGAACGGGUGAGUAACACGUGAGUAACCUGCCCUUGACUCUGGGAUAAGCCUGGGAAACUGGGUCUAAUACUGGAUACGACUCUUCACCGCAUGGUGGGGGGUGGAAAGCUUUUGUGGUUUUGGAUGGACUCGCGGCCUAUCAGCUUGUUGGUGGGGUAAUGGCCUACCAAGGCGACGACGGGUAGCCGGCCUGAGAGGGUGGACGGCCACACUGGGACUGAGACACGGCCCAGACUCCUACGGGAGGCAGCAGUGGGGAAUAUUGCACAAUGGGCGCAAGCCUGAUGCAGCGACGCCGCGUGAGGGAUGAAGGCCUUCGGGUUGUAAACCUCUUUCAGUAGGGAAGAAGCGAAAGUGACGGUACCUGCAGAAGAAGCGCCGGCUAACUACGUGCCAGCAGCCGCGGUAAUACGUAGGGCGCAAGCGUUAUCCGGAAUUAUUGGGCGUAAAGAGCUCGUAGGCGGUUUGUCGCGUCUGCCGUGAAAGUCCGGGGCUUAACUCCGGAUCUGCGGUGGGUACGGGCAGACUUGAGUGAUGUAGGGGAGACUGGAAUUCCUGGUGUAGCGGUGAAAUGCGCAGAUAUCAGGAGGAACACCGAUGGCGAAGGCAGGUCUCUGGGCAUUAACUGACGCUGAGGAGCGAAAGCAUGGGGAGCGAACAGGAUUAGAUACCCUGGUAGUCCAUGCCGUAAACGUUGGGCACUAGGUGUG
rnacentral:rRNA from 1 species